rnacentral:lncRNA from 1 species
AGCUGGAGGAAGGGGGGUGCAGCUUUAGCUCAGCUCUUAACAGUGCAAUGUCUAGUGCCUCUAUAGUUCUCUUGGACAUAGAUGGCUGCUUUCAAAGAAGAAAUAAGUGGAAAGUGAUGGAGUUUCUAUGCUCCAGCUCUCUUUGCCUGCUGCCAUCCACGUAAGAUGUGACUUGCUCCUCUUUGCCUUCUGCCGUAAUUGUGAGCCCCCCUCAGCCAUGUGGAACGAUGGAAAACAGAACAAGCCAUGGAGGCCCCAGGGAUCAGGCAGGGCCAAGAGGAUCUGGUGGCGGAAGGGGGAGCACAUCAACAGGACCUUACAAGGCAACUUGCAUGGAUGCUCUGAAGCAACUUUGAGGUCUCCUUGAUGAGGAAAGUUGGCUCAACCUGCUGUAGAGUAGGCCCACAGCCAAGCCAUUGAGAGACAAGCCCAUGGGAGACAAA